rnacentral:rRNA from 1 species
CGUAGGGAGCAAGCGUUGUCCGGAUUCACUGGGUGUAAAGGGUGCGUAGGCGGGACAAUAAGUCAGUGGUGAAAUCUUACGGCUCAACCGUGAAACUGCCAUUGAUACUGUUGUUCUUGAGUUCGGGAGAGGUUGAUAGAAUUCCAGGUGUAGCGGUGAAAUGCGUAGAUAUCUGGAAGAAUACCAGUGGCGAAGGCGGUCAACUGGCCCGAAACUGACGCUGAGGCACGAAAGCGUGGGUAGCGAACAGGAUUAGAUACCCUGGUAGUCCACGCCCUAAACGAUGAAUGCUUGGUGUUGGCCUGCAAAGGUCAGUGCCGGAGGUAACCUGGUAAGCAUUCCACCUGGGGAGUACGCUCGCAAGGGUG